GAUGAACGCUGACAGAAUGCUUAACACAUGCAAGUCAACUUGAACUUCGGUUUGGGUGGCGGACGGGUGAGUAACGCGUAAAGAACUUGCCUCACAGAUAGGGACAACAUUUGGAAACGAAUGCUAAUACCUGAUAUUAUGAUUUUAGGGCAUCCUAGAAUUAUGAAAGCUAUAUGCGCUGUGAGAGAGCUUUGCGUCCCAUUAGCUAGUUGGAGAGGUAACGGCUCACCAAGGCGAUGAUGGGUAGCCGGCCUGAGAGGGUGAUCGGCCACAAGGGGACUGAGACACGGCCCUUACUCCUACGGGAGGCAGCAGUGGGGAAUAUUGGACAAUGGACCAAGAGUCUGAUCCAGCAAUUCUGUGUGCACGAUGAAGUUUUUCGGAAUGUAAAGUGCUUUCAGUUGGGAAGAAAAAAAUGACGGUACCAACAGAAGAAGUGACGGCUAAAUACGUGCCAGCAGCCGCGGUAAUACGUAUGUCACAAGCGUUAUCCGGAUUUAUUGGGCGUAAAGCGCGUCUAGGUGGUUAUGUAAGUCUGAUGUGAAAAUGCAGGGCUCAACUCUGUAUUGCGUUGGAAACUGUGUAACUAGAGUACUGGAGAGGUAAGCGGAACUACAAGUGUAGAGGUGAAAUUCGUAGAUAUUUGUAGGAAUGCCGAUGGGGAAGCCAGCUUACUGGUCUGUAACUGACGCUGAGGCUCGAAAGCGUGGGGAGCAAACAGG
rnacentral:rRNA from 1 species